rnacentral:rRNA from 1 species
UUUGGAAUUUUGGACAAUGGGCGAAAGCCUGAUCCAGCGACGCCGCGUGCACGAAGAAGGCCUUCGGGUUGUAAAGUGCUUUUGCCGCCGAAAAAUUUUGAUUGUAGGCGGAGAAUAAGAGGUUGCUAACUCUGUGCCAGCAGCAGCGGUAAUACAGAGACCUCAAGCGUUAUCCGGAAUCAUUGGGCGUAAAGCGUACCGAUAGGUGGUUGAGGUAGUUUUGGGUAAAAGCCAGAAGCUUAACUUCUGAGUUUGCUCAAAAUACUCCUCGACUAGAGGGGCAAAUAGGUAACUGGAACCAACGGUGUAGUAGUGAAAUGCGUUGAUAUCGUUGGGAACACCGAAAGCGAAGGCAGGUUACUGGGUGCCACCUGACACUGCUAGGACGAAAGCGUGGGGA